rnacentral:hammerhead_ribozyme from 1 species
AUUCAGAUGACGAGUCCCAAAUAGGACGAAACUCGCGUCCUGGAU